GACGAACGCUGGCGGCGCGCCUAACACAUGCAAGUCGAACGAGCGAGAGAGAGCUUGCUUUCUCGAGCGAGUGGCGAACGGGUGAGUAACGCGUGAGGAACCUGCCUCAAAGAGGGGGACAACAGUUGGAAACGACUGCUAAUACCGCAUAAGCCCACAGCUCGGCAUCGAGCAGAGGGAAAAGGAGCAAUCCGCUUUGAGAUGGCCUCGCGUCCGAUUAGCUAGUUGGUGAGGUAACGGCCCACCAAGGCGACGAUCGGUAGCCGGACUGAGAGGUUGAACGGCCACAUUGGGACUGAGACACGGCCCAGACUCCUACGGGAGGCAGCAGUGGGGAAUAUUGCACAAUGGGGGAAACCCUGAUGCAGCGACGCCGCGUGGAGGAAGAAGGUCUUCGGAUUGUAAACUCCCUGUUGUUGAGGAAGAUAAUGACGGUACUCAACAAGGAAGUGACGGCUAACUACGUG
rnacentral:rRNA from 1 species